ensembl:misc_RNA Metazoa_SRP Metazoan signal recognition particle RNA
GCUGGGCAUGGUUGCGCAUGCCUGUAGUCCCAGGUACUUGGGAGGCUGAGACAGGAGAACCGCUUGAACCCAGGAGGUGGAGGUUUCAUCGAGCUGAUAUUGUGCCACUGUACUCCAGCCUGGGUGACAGAGCGAGACCCUGUCUCAA